GACGAACGCUGGCGGCGUGCUUAACACAUGCAAGUCGAACGGAAAGGCCCUGCUUUUGUGGGGUGCUCGAGUGGCGAACGGGUGAGUAACACGUGAGUAACCUGCCCUUGACUUUGGGAUAACUUCAGGAAACUGGGGCUAAUACCGGAUAGGAGCUCCUGCUGCAUGGUGGGGGUUGGAAAGUUUCGGCGGUUGGGGAUGGACUCGCGGCUUAUCAGCUUGUUGGUGGGGUAGUGGCUUACCAAGGCUUUGACGGGUAGCCGGCCUGAGAGGGUGACCGGCAGCAGUGGGACUGAGAGACGGCCGAGAGGAGUGCGGGAGGCAGAAGGGGGGGAUAGGGCACAAUGGGAGGAGGCCUGAUGCAGCUACGCCGGGUGAGGGAGGACGGGGUUCGGGUUGUAAAACGCUUUCGCCUGUGACGAAGCGGGAGUGACGGUAAUGGGUAAAGCAGCACCGGCUAACUACGUG
rnacentral:rRNA from 1 species